rnacentral:rRNA from 1 species
AGAGUUUGAUCCUGGCUCAGGAUGAACGCUAGCGACAGGCCUAACACAUGCAAGUCGAGGGGCAGCACGGUGUAGCAAUACACGGGUGGCGACCGGCGCACGGGUGAGUAACGCGUAUGCAACCUGCCUACUACAAGGGGAUAACCCGUUGAAAGACGGACUAAUACCCUAUAACACAGGGAAUCCGCAUGGAUAUAUUUGUUAAAGAUUAAUCGGUAGUAGAUGGGCAUGCGUUCCAUUAGCUUGUUGGUGAGGUAACGGCUCACCAAGGCAACGAUGGAUAGGGGAACUGAGAGGUUGAUCCCCCACACUGGAACUGAGACACGGUCCAGACUCCUACGGGAGGCAGCAGUGAGGAAUAUUGGUCAAUGGACGAGAGUCUGAACCAGCCAAGUCGCGUGAAGGAAGACGGCCCUACGGGUUGUAAACUUCUUUUGUAAGGGAAUAAAUAGUCUUACGCGCUAAGACGUUGCAGGUGCCUUACGAAUAAGGAUCGGCUAACUCCGUGCCAGCAGCCGCGGUAAUACGGAGGAUCCGAGCGUUAUCCGGAUUUAUUGGGUUUAAAGGGUGCGCAGGCGGCAUGUUAAGUCGGCGGUGAAAUUUUGCAGCUCAACUGUAAAAGAGCCUUCGAAACUGGCAAGCUUGAGUGUGGAUGAAGUAGGCGGAAUUUGUGGUGUAGCGGUGAAAUGCAUAGAUAUCACAAAGAACACCGAUUGCGCAGGCAGCUUACUAAACCAUAACUGACGCUCAUGCACGAAGGCGUGGGGAUCAAACAGGAUUAGAUACCCUGGUAGUCCACGCAGUAAACGAUGAUUACUGGCUGUUUGCGAUACAAUGUAAGCGGCUGAGCGAAAGCGUUAAGUAAUCCACCUGGGGAGUACGUUCGCAAGAAUGAAACUCAAAUGAAUUGACGG